UUUAACCCUCGACUGGCCGCAGGGACGCAGGUUCAGAGUACUAUCCGAUCACAGUAAGUGGUUAAUGACUGACAAAGUCUCACUUUUCAGUGUUCAAGAUUCACCUGCUGAUACUAAUAAUAUACACUCAGUGGCCACUUUAUUAGGUACACCUGUAAAAUCUGAUGCAAUCCAACAGCUCAGCCAUAAAUUCUACUUUUACAAAUGUUCAGGUGUUCAUUUAACUCGUUUAUUACGGAGGAUGUAGUCUGCAGUGGUGUUGAACUACAUUAUAUCGAGGCGUUUCUGAUGUUUUGGGAUCCUCCCUGAUGUUUUGUCGACCCAUCCAUCCACGCCGACCUCUAUAACGUCACCUGACUUCCUCCUUUGCUCCCGUCGUAACUCCUACGACGCCUGAGAUAAAGACGGCCGCCGCGAUCAGAGGGAGAGACGACAUUUUACGAAAUAUAACACUCAGGGCAAAGAGCAGAGGUUUGUGCCGUCACCUAGUAACUAAAUGAGAUGAGAAUGGAUGGAUUAUGGCCGGGCCUGCCAGGCACAGGCCCUGGGGCCCCUAAACCAGAGCCCUGGGGCCCCUAAACCAGAGCCCUGGGGCCCCUAAACCAGAGCCUGUAUGAAGUGACUCAUUUAUUUCUUGUUGGGAAGUCAAAGUUGUCAGUUAAAGUAUGUUCUGAUCACAUUAUUAGUCACGUUAGCAGCGCGGCUCUAUGGAGACUGAAACAUCUCAGCAGCUGUUGGACUCUGUGUUCACUGCUAACUAGCUAAUGUUAGCAUGCUAACACGCUAAACUAAGAUGGUGGACAUUAUACCUGCUAAAAGCUUUUAGAUGUCGUUGCUUAAACUCCUUUAAGGCUGCAACUAAUCAUUUGUGUCAUCAUUGAUUAUUUUUAUGAUUAAAAAAAUCGAGUCAACACAUCUACAAAUGUCUCGUUACGUCCAACCAACAGUCCAAAACCCAAAGACACGCGUGUGGAAAUCUGUGUUCCAGCAGCAUUUCACAACAGGUGAUUUAUUCUCACGUCGACGUUACUUUGAUAUUUAAAACCUCUAGGAUAAGAAGGUAUUAAACUGCUGACACACACACACACACACACGAUGCAUUGUGAAAGUGCGGAUUAGAGCUUUGCGGCUGGAGUAAGAUGCUGGCAUGCCACACACACACACACACACACACACAGUAUAUGAAAGUAUUAUUAAUGUUGACAGCUGCUGACACAUUUGUCCAUGCAGACUGCAGAGCUCAGGUUAACCUUUCACACUGCCUGCGAUGACACAGACGCACAGUCUGAAUUCAUUGGCAUCAGUUUUAUGCAGAAUAAACAUUUUCUCAGCUACAACAACUCAAAGUCAGCGAGGAGAAAAAUAAAACUCUGGCUCUGGUUUGAUUAAAUCGACUUAUUAGUGCCGACUUCGUGUUUUCACACAGGACCGGCUGCAUGUUGCAGCUUUGAGGCUCAGUUCAGUUUAUUUUCCUCUUGAAGUGAGUCAUGAACACGUGGAGCGACGUGUUUUUUUCCGCCCACAGUUUCCAACCAGCAGCCGACCGUUUCCCGGCCGUGUCAGACUGCAGCAGAUGGCUCUCUGCUGCAGUCCGACACUUCACGGCCCAACGGUCUCGUCUGAAAACACCUCGACGCUGACUCUGGAUCAGGCAGUCUGUCAGAGACGCAGAGGACGGUCCACUGACGUCAUCUGUCUCUGAACAUCGCAGCUCGCUGCUGUUAACAGGCGGGCCGGAGGGACAAAAAGCCCGGAAUAAAGAAGGCCGAAGGAGAGGAAGCUGAUCAAGCUCCAGAGCAAAACUCAGAGGAUUAAACUGCUCCACAACAGAGACCUGGUUCACACCCAGCGAGGAGACGGGAGGACUUCGUGUGUUAGCCGUUAGCUCGCCAGCUAACCCUGUGAGGAGUCCGCGAGUCACUACAUCACCAAACUUCUACCGCCGACUAUUUCAUGAAGACACACGGAUUAACUUUCACUUCGUUACUUUCUGGCUUGACCGGGUCUUCACUGCGGACCGGGUCUUCACUGCGGACCGGGUCUUCACUGCGGACCAUGAACAGAGCUCAGCGACAGAUGUUUGAUAUUUUAAGUUGGCGGGUCUGUUUAACGUCUGAAACCUUCAGUAUCAGAGCCGGGGCCGCAGCAGAGUCCCACUGUCGACGCCAAAAGAAGACUUUUUCCUGAUUCCUUCGUUUGGGGAACAAACACGUUCAAACCGUUUGUUUAAAUUUGACAAAAUGUAGCAAACUGUUCAACGCAGCAGUGGAAAUAAUGAAUUUUGCCUGAAGAAAAUAAAAAAUAUAAUAGUCUAUGAAUAUAAUAAAAUAUAGUCAGAAGUUUGAAAAGUUUCCUGAUCAGGAACUAUAUGAUCAGACAUUGAAUAUUAACUUUACUUUUAUUGUUUUUGAUACUUUGUCGGACCCAAAACAGUACUGAGGUUUGAUACACACCUUACCUUCAGUAAAAAAUAGCUUUGAAUGAACAUUUUUCAUUAAAAAAAUACAUCUGAAGAAUAAGAAAAAUGGAUUUGAUAAAUCGUCAUAGCGUUGAAAAUAUUUCUGUUGAGAUCUCUUGCUCUGCACAUAACUUAUGCACACUGUCCAUUUAUUGCUAUUAUAUUAAAUAUUAAAAUUUC